AGAGUUCGAUCCUGGCUCAGAACGAACGCUGGCGGCGCGUCUUAAGCAUGCAAGUCGAGCGGGAGACGGUAGCUUGCUACCGUCGAGAGCGGCGGACUGGUGAGUAACACGUGGGUGACGCACCCCCGGGACGGGGAUAGCCUGUAGAAAUAUAGGGUAAUACCGGAUGAGGUCCCCGUACUUGGAAUACGGGGAGGAAAGGAGCUGCGGCUCCGCCCGGGGAACGGCCCGCGACCCAUCAGCUGGUUGGCGGGGAAAAGGCCCACCAAGGCGAUGACGGGUAUCCGGCCUCAGAGGGCGACCGGACACAUUGGGACUGAGAUACGGCCCAGACUCCUACGGGAGGCAGCAGCUAAGAAUAUUCCGCAAUGGGGGGAACCCUGACGGAGCGACGCCGCGUGGACGAUGAAGGCCGGAAGGUUGUAAAGUCCUUUUCUGACGGAGGAAGAAGCGCGGGAGGGAAUGCCUGCGCGGUGACUGUAGGUCAGGAAUAAGCACCGGCUAAUUACGUGCCAGCAGCCGCGGUAACACGUAAGGUGCGAGCGUUGUUCGGAAUCAUUGGGCGUAAAGGGCAUGUAGGCGGCCGCGCAAGUCUGGAGUGAAAUCCCUGGGCUCAACCCAGGAACUGCUUUGGAAACUGUGAGGCUGGAGUCGCCGAGGCGGAGCCGGAAUUCCAGGUGUAGGGGUGAAAUCUGUAGAUAUCUGGAAGAACACCGAUGGCGAAGGCAGGCUUCGAGCGGAUGACUGACGCUGAGGUGCGAAGGUGCGGGGAGCGAACAGGAUUAGAUACCCUGGUAGUCCGCACAGUAAACGAUGCACACUGGGUGUCCGGGUGAUAGCCCGGGUGCCGAAGCGAACGCGGUAAGUGUGCCGCCUGGGGAGUAUGCCCGCAAGGGUGAAACUCAAAGGAAUUGACGGGGGCCCGCACAAGCGGUGGAGCAUGUGGUUUAAUUCGAU
rnacentral:rRNA from 1 species